GAUGAAGAACGUAGCGAAAUGCGAUAAGUAAUGUGAAUUGCAGAAUUCAGUGAAUCAUCGAAUCUUUGAACGCACAUUGCGCCCGCCAGCAUUCUGGCGGGCAUGCCUGUUCGAGCGUCAUUUCAACCCUCGAGCCCCCCCGGGGGCCUCGGUGUUGGGGGACGGCACACCAGCCGCCCCCGAAAUGCAGUGGCGACCCCGCCGCAGCCUCCCCUGCGUAGUAGCACACACCUCGCACCGGAGCGCGGAGGCGGUCACGCCGUAAAACGCCCAACGUUCUUAGAGUUGACCUCGGAUCAGGUAGGAAUACCCGCUGAACUUAAGCAUAUCAAUAAGCGGAGGA
rnacentral:misc_RNA from 1 species